rnacentral:rRNA from 1 species
AGUUCGAUUAUGGCUCAGAUUGAACGCUGGCGGGAUGCUUUACACAUGCAAGUCGAACUGACAGCACCGGACUUCGGUCUGGUGGCGAGUGGCGAACAGGUGAGUAAUGUAUCGGAACGUGCUAGUAGCGGGGGAUAACUACGCGAAAGCGCCUUUAAUACCGCAUACGCCCAUCGGGGAAAGCGGGGGACCUUCGGGCCUCGCACUAUUAGAGCGGCCGAUAUCGGAUUAGCUAGUUGGUGGGGUAACGGCUCGCAAGGCGACGAUCCGUAGCUGGACGGAUUUGAGAGGACGGCCAGCCACACUGGGACUGGAGACCUGGCCCAGACUCCUACGGGAGGCAGUAGUGGGGUACCUGGACAAUGGAAGCCCUGAUCCAGCCCAUCCGUGUGCGAUGAAGGCGCUAGGUUUAUGGCUGCACGGCAGGAAAGAAACGGCACAGGGAUAUUACCCCGUGCAGCCGUGUACCUGCAGAAUAAGCACCGGCUAACUACGUGCCAGCAGCCGCGGUAAUACGUAGGGUGCAAGCGUUAAUCGGAAUUACUGGGCGUAAAGCGUGCGCAGGCGGUUCGGAAAGAAGAUGUGAAAUCCCAGAGCUUAACUUUGGAACUGCAUUUUUAACUACCGAGCUAGAGUGUGUCAGAGGGAGGUGGAAUUCCGCGUGUAGCAGUGAAAUGCGUAGAUAUGCGGAGGAACACCGAUGGCGAAGGCAGCCUCCUGGGAUAACACUGACGGCGCUCGCCUGCACAAGCGUGGGGAGCUCUAUCAGAGUUAGAUACCCUGGUAGUCCACGCUAAACGAUGUCCAACUAGCUGUUGGGGCCUUCGGGCCUUGGUAGCGCAGCUAACGCGUGAAGUUGACCGCCUGGGAGUACGGUCGCAAGAUUAAAACUCAAAGGAAUUGACGGGGACCCGCACAAGCCCGGUGGAUGAUGUGGACAAUUCGAUGCAACGCGAAAAACCUUACCUACCCUUGAUGUCUGGAAUCCCGAAGAGAUUUGGGAGUGCUCGCAAGAGAACCGGAACACAGGUGCUGCGCCAGCUGUCGAUAGCUCUCGUGUCGUGAGAUGUUGGGUUAAGUCACGCAACGAGCGCAGCCCUUGUCGUGGAUUGCUACGAAAGGGCACUCUAAUGAGACUGCCGGUGACAAACCGGAGGAAGGUGGGGAUGACGUCAGGUCUUCCUCAUGGCCCUUAUGGGCAGGGCUUCACACGUCAUACAAUGGUCAGGACAGAGGGUCAUCAGCCCGCGAGGAGCCAAUCCAGAAACCGAUCGUAGUCCGGAUCGCAGUCUGCAACUCGACUGCGUGAAGUCGGAAUCGCUGGUAAUCGCGGAUCAGCAUGUCGCGGUGAGGCCCGUUUCCCAAGGUCUUGUACACACCGCCCGUCACACCAUGGGAGUGGGUUUUACCAGAAGUAGUUAGCCUAACCGUAAGGAGGGCGAUUACCACCGGUAGGAUUCAUGACUGGGGUGAAGUCGUAACAAGGUAG